rnacentral:rRNA from 1 species
AACUUUAAGCGGUGAAUCACUCAGCUCGUGUGUUGAUGAAGAGUGCAGCCAAUUGUGUGAGUUGAUGUGAACUGCAUACUUCCUUGAAUAUCGACACCUUGAACGCAUAUUGAUACUACUGGAUAUCCUGUGACCACACCUGACAGAUGGUUG